CAUAACCUCGGGAAACUGGGUAUAAUACCCGAUAGGUCUCGAUUGCUGGAAUGCAUCGAGAUUUAAAGCUCCGGCGCCUAAGGAUGGGUCUGCGGCCUAUCAGGUAGUAGUGGGUGUAGCGUACCUACUAGCCUACGACGGGUACGGGUUGUGAGAGCAAGAGCCCGGAGAUGGAUUCUGAGACACGAAUCCAGGCCCUACGGGGUGCAGCAGGCGCGAAAACUUUACAAUGCUGGCAACAGCGAUAAGGGAACCUCGAGUGCCAGGUUACAAAUCUGGCUGUCGAGAUGCCUAAAAAGCAUUUCAUAGCAAGGGCCGGGCAAGACCGGUGCCAGCCGCCGCGGUAACACCGGCGGCUCGAGUGGUAACCGUUAUUAUUGGGUCUAAAGGGUCUGUAGCCGGCCGGAUAAGUCUCUUGAGAAAUCUGGCAGCUUAACUGUCAGGCUUUCAGGAGAUACUGUCUGGCUCGAGGCCGGGAGAGGUGAGAGGUACUCCAGGGGUAGGGGUGAAAUCUUGUAAUCCUUGAAGGACCACCAGUGGCGAAGGCGUCUCACCAGAACGGACCUGACGGCAAGGGACGAAAGCUAGGGGCACGAACCGGAUUAGAUACCCGGGUAGUCCUAGCCGUAAACGAUACUCGCUAGGUGUCGGCCACGGUGCGACCGUUGUCGGUGCCGUACGGAAGCCGUGAAGCGAGCCACCUGGGAAGUACGGCCGCAAGGCUGAAACUUAAAGGGAUUGGCGGGGGAGCACCACAACGGGUGGAGCUUGCGGUUUAAUUGGAUCCAACGCCGGAAAUCUUACCGGGACCGACAGCAAUAUGAAGGCCAGGCUGAAGACUUUGCCGGAUUAGCUGAGAGGUGGUGCAU
rnacentral:rRNA from 1 species